rnacentral:lncRNA from 1 species
UGCUCUUUAUGAAGUCAUAGCAAGGCCUGGACUAGGGUGAGAAAGGACAGGUGCCUGUGAGGCAGGACUUAAAGGAGGCGCUGGCCCUCAGGGACAUGCGAGGGCAGGGUGAGCACCUGAGACUUCCUCUUUAUAUAGACUUAGAGAACCACUACUCGAAGCCAAGCCUUACGUCAGGCAGCAGAGAUACCAAGAUGAGGUUGAAGAAAACACACGGGUUUCUCCACUCAUGGACUCCAAGGAGGAUGGCAACAACAUGUUUGCAAGAUGUUACUCUUCG